GUUGUAGCUCAGUGGUAGAGCAUUCGCCUAGCAUGGGCGAGACACUGGGUUUAAUCCUCAGCACAACA
rnacentral:tRNA from 1 species